rnacentral:rRNA from 1 species
UGCAAGUCGAACGAGUUCUCGUUGAUGAUCGGUGCUUGCACCGAGAUUCAACAUGGAACGAGUGGCGGACGGGUGAGUAACACGUGGGUAACCUGCCCUUAAGUGGGGGAUAACAUUUGGAAACAGAUGCUAAUACCGCAUAGAUCCAAGAACCGCAUGGUUCUUGGCUGAAAGAUGGCGUAAGCUAUCGCUUUUGGAUGGACCCGCGGCGUAUUAGCUAGUUGGUGAGGUAAUGGCUCACCAAGGCGAUGAUACGUAGCCGAACUGAGAGGUUGAUCGGCCACAUUGGGACUGAGACACGGCCCAAACUCCUACCGGGAGGCAGCAGUAGGGAAUCUUCCACAAUGGACGCAAGUCUGAUGGAGCAACGCCGCGUGAGUGAAGAAGGCUUUCGGGUCGUAAAACUCUGUUGUUGGAGAAGAAUGGUCGGCAGAGUAACUGUUGUCGGCGUGACGGUAUCCAACCAGAAAGCCACGGCUAACUACGUGCCAGCAGCCGCGGUAAUACGUAGGUGGCAAGCGUUAUCCGGAUUUAUUGGGCGUAAAGCGAGCGCAGGCGGUUUUUUAAGUCUGAUGUGAAAGCCCUCGGCUUAACCGAGGAAGCGCAUCGGAAACUGGGAAACUUGAGUGCAGAAGAGGACAGUGGAACUCCAUGUGUAGCGGUGAAAUGCGUA